rnacentral:rRNA from 1 species
AGAGUUUGAUCCUGGCUCAGAUUGAACGCUGGCGGCAGGCCCAACACAUGCAAGUCGAACGGUAACAGAAAGCAGCUUGCUGCUUUGCUGACGAGUGGCGGACGGGUGAGUAAUGUCUGGGAAACUGCCUGAUGGAGGGGGAUAACUACUGGAAACGGUAGCUAAUACCGCAUAACGUCGCAAGACCAAAGAGGGGGACCUUCGGGCCUCUUGCCAUCGGAUGUGCCCAGAUGGGAUUAGCUUGUUGGUGGGGUAACGGCUCACCAAGGCGACGAUCCCUAGCUGGUCUGAGAGGAUGACCAGCCACACUGGAACUGAGACACGGUCCAGACUCCUACGGGAGGCAGCAGUGGGGAAUAUUGCACAAUGGGCGCAAGCCUGAUGCAGCCAUGCCGCGUGUAUGAAGAAGGCCUUCGGGUUGUAAAGUACUUUCAGCGGGGAGGAAGGGAGUAAAGUUAAUACCUUUGCUCAUUGACGUUACCCGCAGAAGAAGCACCGGCUAACUCCGUGCCAGCAGUCGCGGUAAUACGGAGGGUGCAAGCGUUAAUCGGAAUUACUGGGCGUAAAGCGCACGCAGGCGGUUUGUUAAGUCAGAUGUGAAAUCCCCGGGCUCAACCUGGGAACUGCAUCUGAUACUGGCAAGCUUGAGUCUCGUAGAGGGGGGUAGAAUUCCAGGUGUAGCGGUGAAAUGCGUAGAGAUCUGGAGGAAUACCGGUGGCGAAGGCGGCCCCCUGGACGAAGACUGACGCUCAGGUGCGAAAGCGUGGGGAGCAAACAGGAUUAGAUACCCUGGUAGUCCACGCCGUAAACGAUGUCGACUUGGAGGUUGUGCCCUUGAGGGCGUGGCUUCCGGAGCUAACGCGUUAAAGUCGACCGCCGGGGGAGUACGGCCGCAAGGUUAAAACUCAAAUGAAUUGACGGGGGCCCGCACAAGCGGUGGAGCAUGUGGUUUAAUUUGAUGCAACGCGAAGAACCUUACCUGGUCUUGACAUCCACAGAACUUUCCAGAGAUGGAUUGGUGCCUUCGGGAACUGUGAGACAGGUGCUGCAUGGCUGUCGUCAGCUCGUGUUGUGAAAUGUUGGGUUAAGUCCCGCAACGAGCGCAACCCUUAUCCUUUGUUGCCAGCGGUCCGGCCGGGAACUCAAAGGAGACUGCCAGUGAUAAACUGGAGGAAGGUGGGGAUGACGUCAAGUCAUCAUGGCCCUUACGACCAGGGCUACACACGUGCUACAAUGGCGCAUACAAAGAGAAGCGACCUCGCGAGAGCAAGCGGACCUCAUAAAGUGCGUCGUAGUCCGGAUUGGAGUCUGCAACUCGACUCCAUGAAGUCGGAAUCGCUAGUAAUCGUGGAUCAGAAUGCCACGGUGAAUACGUUCCCGGGCCUUGCACUCAACGCCCGUCA